rnacentral:tRNA from 1 species
GAUGCCGCUGACCGAGUGGCUGGACGAUUCAGUUCUCCAGCAACUGGCCGAAGAGAACAAUCUGUCCGAGACGGCGUUCUACACCGCGCGCCUUCCC